rnacentral:rRNA from 1 species
CCAAUAGCGUAUAUUAAAGUUGCUGCAGUUAAAAAGCUCGUAGUUGAAUUUCGGGAUCAGACUGUCGGUCGUGCCUCGGUACGUACUGGCAUCAUUGGUUUCUCCUUUCUGAAGAACCGCGAUGUCAUUUAUUUGGUGUCGCGGGGAAUCAGGACUGUUACUUUGAAAAAAUUAGAGUGUUUAAAGCAGGCUUACGCUUGAAUACAUUAGCAUGGAAUAAUGAAAUAGGACGUUUGAUUCUAUUUUGUUGGUUUCUAGGAUCGACGUAAUGAUUAAUAGGGAUAGUUGGGGGCAUUAGUAUUCAAUUGUCAGAGGUGAAAUUCUUGGAUUUAUUGAAGACUAACUACUGCGAAAGCAUUUGCCAAGGAUGUUUUCAUUAAUCAAGAACGAAAGUUAGGGGAUCGAAGACGAUCAGAUACCGUCGUAGUCUUAACCAUAAACUAUGCCGACUAGGGAUCGGAUGAUGUUAAUUUUUUAAUGACUCAUUCGGCGCCUUACG